UACGUAGGGGCGAGCGUUGUCCGGAAUCAUUGGGCGUAAAGCGCGUGUAGGCGGCCCGGUAAGUCCGCUGUGAAAGUCCAGGGCUCAACCCUGGGAUGCCGGUGGAUACUGUCGGGCUCGAGUCCGGAAGAGGCGAGUGGAAUUCCUGGUGUAGCGGUGAAAUGCGCAGAUAUCAGGAGGAACACCAAUGGCGAAGGCAGCUCGCUGGGACGUGACUGACGCUGAGACGCGAAAGCGUGGGGAGCAAACAGGAUUAGAACCCUACGCA
rnacentral:rRNA from 1 species